rnacentral:misc_RNA from 1 species
UCCGGUUUGUCACCGGCAGUAUCCCAUGAGUCCCCAACUAAAUGCUGGCAACAUGGGACAAGGGUUGCGCUCGUUGCGGGACUUAACCCAACAUCUCACGACACGAGCUGACGACAACCAUGCAGCACCUCUGCUGGCUCCCUUGCGGGUCAGCCCCUGUUUCCAGGGACUUACCACCAGUAGUUCAAGCCCAGGUAAGGUUCUUCGCGUUGCGUCGAAUUAAACCACAUGCUCCACCGCUUGUGCGGGCCCCCGUCAAUUCCUUUGAGUUUUAACCUUGCGGCCAUACUCCCCAGGCGGUCGACUUCACGCGUUAGCUUCGUUACUGAGAGUGUCAAACCCCCAACAACCAGUCGACAUCGUUUAGGGCGUGGACUAC